UACCCAUCGUCGUAUCAUCUUCUUCAUCUCACCAUUCCCGUCGCAUUUUCCCCUUUCACCUCCUCCAUAACGUCGGUCUCUCACUUUAUGAUUCACAAAUCCUCAUACAUUCAAUUCACUAUGAUAAUCAAUGGCUAUCGAACUCUUGCACUUUCCACAAAUUUAGAACUGCAUAUAUAUAUAUAUCUCCUCCCCUAUUGAUGAAACAGUCAUGUUCAUCAGAGAUAUCUCCCUAAAUCGGACUAAUCGGUCAUGUCUUGAAUGCAUAGUGUCUGAGAUAUGUUGGAGCUUCGCCCUGGAGUCCUUCGUUGCCGUGUUAUCGACAUUGAAGCUCUGAAUCAGCCUAAAACAAGAAACAGAGGAAGAGUAAUGGCAACAUGGAAUCCAGUGGAGUAACAGAAGCAGCCACUGCCGUGGAGAGACAAAGGCCAAGCUGCUUGAGUUCUUCGUACACUCUCUUCACGGAUUUGUGAAAUGUGAAUGAUUUUUGAAAUGCGAAUUGGUUCUACCAAGAAUGUGAUCGUGGGUUUUGUGAAGUUAUAGACAAGGAAGAACAAAAGAAAAAGUUCUUUUUUGUGUGGAUUGGUGAAGUAGCUAAGAGAGGUAGAUAUGUUUAUAUGAGAUACUUGAGCUUGCUAUAUCUCAGCCAGCUCUCGACAUGCCUGAACUGUUAUGGAAGGCAUACAUAGGACAAGGGUUUAUAUGAGAUACUCUUGGACUGCACAAAGCACUAGAAGGUGUGGGUUAGUUUUGCAAAAUUUGAAGCUUCUGCUGCAGAACAAGAAGAAGACUAAAAAGAGGAAGAACAAGAAGAAACAGAUGCUAUUGAACGCAAGAAAGAGUGCAUCAGACAUGCCAGAGAGAUUUUCGAGAGAGUCAACAGCUACUACAAAGACUCUGCAGCAGAGUUGAAAGAGUAAAGAGCUUCACUAUUGGAGGAUUGGCUUAACAUGGAGACAAACUUUGGUAAUCUCGGGGAUGUGAGUGUGGUACAAUCUUAGCUCCCGAAGAGGCUCAAGAAGAGAAAACGAAUCACCUGAGAAGAUGGCUCUAUAGAGAUCUUCACGAGAAGCAUGAGAGCUGGCUCCUCCCAUUUGAGGGUGGGAACCAUGGCAUACUGUCUGUUAGCGAACCGUCUUUACAUAUGGAUAACACUCUGCAUCCUGACAUUAAAGACCGUGUCUUUUACUUAGAAGGAAACCAUAUGCAUUCCAGCAUACAUAAGGUCCCUGCUUUGGUUUCAGACUGUCAACCAAAUAUUACAGCAGCAGACAUAUUGAAGCAAAGAGUCAGUAAGUUCUUAUGACUGUUACUGUCACCAUAAUAGAUUCCUAAACAUAGCUGAUGUUUUCUUGAUUGGUGUUGGUGAAGGUAUGCACACCAGGUUGCUGAAAUCUUUUACUUUUUCAAACUUUUAUUAUGCUCUAAGUUGUGAAGCAUCUUGGUAACGUUUUAUACUGUGUUGUUUAGGUUAGCCUUCCCCUGUUAUAUGUGUCGAGUCUACUGCUUGAUAGCUGCUUAGUUCAUUGUUGUGUUUUAUUUUUCUGAUGAGUUGCAACUGUUUACUUAUUAUUCCCCCAACAGAGAUGUAACUGUUUACUUAUUUUUGUGGGACGAGGCUGCGUCAAUCUUCAGGGGUCUCUUGAAAGCAGGGGAUAAAUCACAGUCUGUGAUGUUGGUGCCAUGGUUAAUCCAAAACUAUUUGGAGUGAACCUGUACUUAAACUCCACACUAGGGACUAGGUUCUUUUUAGACACCAACCUCCCUGAAAUAACAGAGUGUGUCAGCAGUUAAGAACAGAAUACUCAAGUAGUAACAGAGAUUCUCCGUAUUGUGAUGCUACCAUACAUACUAUAUGCAGGGUGGGAGGUGCAUCAUCCCAAGCUUUUCCUAAUGUCGACAAUCUCGAAAGGAUUAAGAGAGGAAGGUUAAGUUAAUUUACAGAUCUUUUUUUAGCAAUAAUAAUGUUUAAAUAGGUCUCAACUUUUUAAAUUUAAAUUUGUUCUCUCUUUUUGAGGUGCCAAGUAGCAAGCUGCUGAUUCUGGAACGCCUGUAAUUUUAGAAUAAUUUGCUUCUCUCUAUCUCUCUACUGUCACAGUUGGUUCUUCUCCCCUAGACACACUCUCAUUCCUUAAAGUAGAAGUUGACGUAAAUUGGAAUCUGUAUGGGGAACGCCUCUGCUUGAAGUUGAAGGAGAAGUUUCAGAUUUUGUUCUAAUUAUUAUAGAUUUUGAGAUUAUUCAAUUGUGUUCUAAUUAAGCGAAUCUAAAACCUUUUAGCAUUGUUUUAAGUUGACCAAAGAAAAACAGUCGUGUUAUCCCUUUCUGAGUUGUACAUUUUAUUAGUCUC